UGGCUCAGAGGUUAAAGCAUCUGCUUGCAAUGCAGGAGACCUGGGUUUGAUUCCUGG
rnacentral:tRNA from 1 species